CCUACGGGAGGCAGCAGUGGGGAAUAUUGGGCAAUGGGCGCAAGCCUGACCCAGCAACGCCGCGUGAAGGAAGAAGGCUUUCGGGUUGUAAACUUCUUUUAAGAGGGAAGAGCAGAAGACGGUACCUCUUGAAUAAGCCACGGCUAACUACGUGCCAGCAGCCGCGGUAAUACGUAGGUGGCAAGCGUUGUCCGGAUUUACUGGGUGUAAAGGGCGUGCAGCCGGGAAGACAAGUCAGAUGUGAAAUCCCGGGGCUCAACCGCGGAACUGCAUUUGAAACUGUUUUUCUUGAGUACCGGAGAGGUGAUCGGAAUUCCUGGUGUAGCGGUGAAAUGCGUAGAUAUAAGGAAGAACACCAGUGGCGAAGGCGGAUGACUGGACGGCAACUGACGGUGAGGCGCGAAAGCGUGGGGAGCAAACAGGAUUAGAUACCCUUGUAGUC
rnacentral:rRNA from 1 species